rnacentral:rRNA from 1 species
UACAGAGGGUGCAAGCGUUAAUCGGAAUUACUGGGCGUAAGGCGUGCGUAGACGGUUAUUUAAGUCAGGUGUGAAAGCCCCGGGCUCAACCUGGGAAUUGCAUUUGAGACUGAAUAGCUAGGGUGCGGAAGAGGGAAGCGGAAUUUCCGGUGUAGCGGUGAAAUGCGUAGAUAUCGGAAGGAACACCAGUGGCGAAAGCGGCUUCCUGGUCCAGCACCGACGUUCAGGCACGAAAGCGUGGGGAGCAAACAGG